AAAGAAUAAAACAAGGCAACAAAUUGGAAAGGAAAGUCAUUAAGGGUAAUUUCCCUGAUGGUUUCACGCAGAAACGUGAAUUGGAAAAAAUGGGAUUGAAAUCCCUAAUCCCCAAACUUCUCCUCCUUCAAUGGCAGUGGCGGUAAAGGGCACCGUUCGUGGCUAGGACCAGGCGGGUGUGAUUCGCGAUAAUGGCAAAGGAGGGCGCGACGGGGAAGUGACAGUGAAUGACCUUCAUCCUCCAGCGGCGAUGAACAACAAUCACGACCAAGGGUGGUUCAGGGUUGUAGCGCGGUGGUGUAUAUUUGCGAGUUCUUCUUCUCUUAAUCAUCACGGGUUUCAUUUUUCGGUUCGUAAAGUGCUUAACCCAAAGUACCUCUAAUUCGAAAUGGGUACAAAGGAUGGUGAGUUAUGGUUUUUUUGGUGUAACGAUGAUAGAGCCACUAAUGGCUGACUCUGAAUCGGGUAACUACUACUUCAUUAAUUUUUGUCAAUUCAUUGCCUUAAGUUGAUUAUCAGUUUUCUUGCUCUUCCAUGAACUCAUACAAUUUUGAUUGAUCUUUACAAAAUGUUAAUCCUGAGUCAUUGACCCAAAGUCAGCUAGAGAAUAUCAAAGAUAUACGCUGUAUCGACUGAACCGAGGCGUCUUCCAUUGGUGAUUAUUCGCAACCGAACAGAGGAGAGGUAAACAUUCUCCUUAUUUCUCAUGAAGCCUUACCGAUUGUAUGAGUUUUGUUAGUGUUCCAGAUUAGUAAUGAUAAAGGAAUAAUCUUUUUACUAUUGAAUUCUUGCCUAAUCCUUAGGUGAUGGUACUAAUUGAUGGAAACAUAUAGGCUAAAACAAAUUUCAAUCAUCCUUUUUACUUUCCAAUCCACACUAUAUGUAUACGUGUUUUUUGUGUUAUGAUCGAUUAUAAACAGUUAUGAAUUAAUCAUACAAGUCUAACGUAUAAGCCAUACAAAGUGUGGAGUGUUCAUAAAACAAAAUUUAUGGUUUGAGUGCUUACCUGAGUACGCUCUCCUUCCUGUGUUGUAGGUGUAUGUAGCCUGAUAUUUCUGUGUGCUGGUAUAGGCCUGGAUUUUCUGAUUGGUUACGAGCUUUGUACGUCACUCUGCUUCUAUGUAAUUCGGUUUAUUUUCUUUAUAUAGCUCUCUGAUUUAUUACGUGUAUGAUAUCUGUGUUGUAAUCUCUGCCUCUAUUGCGAUGUAAAUGUGUCUGUAAUCUUUGUUCUAUUUUUAUCACUGUUGCAAUGUCUCUCUGAUUUAUGUAUGCUGGUGUAUAUCUCGUUUCUGUUUUUUGUUUCUGGAUGCUUUACUACACUACCUCUUGGCUGAUUUCUCUUGUGGUUAUGUAUGUGUAGCUAUGUUGUGUGUCCCUGAAUGUGAUCUUAUCUACACGUUGCUUUUACUGAUUUCCUGUUGAGUUCCUGCUUUUGUUCUCUGAUUCCUGCCUUUUGUUCUCUGGUUCCUGCCUCUGUGUGUAUUUGGACUGAUUUGUAUCUGCUUGAUCUUUCCUAUUUUUGUGUUCUCUUUUCUCACGGAGUCCCAUUCUUGAUUUUUAUGAUGAUGUAUCUGUGACUAGUAGGUGCAUGUUUGUGAUAUCUCUCUUUUUCGUUUCUCUCUCCUUUUGUGUGUAUCUCUUAUAUCCCUUCUUUUUUUGUCCUUUUUUGCUUUUUUUAUUGGCUAUUUUUGAACACCCUCAAAUGACAGUCGUAAGUGCAUAAAAGCAUGAUUCACCCUCGAAGUUUGAAGGCGAGGAUUCAAGAUCUUGCUUCUGCUUGGUAGAGGGAUUUUGGAUUAAUCAAUGAUGAGCAACUUUAGUCUUGCCCAAGUUAUAGGUUUCUUGGUACUUUCAUUCGAGAAAUGGGGUCAGCCCCCAUAAACUGCCCCAGUUUGGAUUGAUGUCGUUCGUUUGAUUUCAACUUCUCAUGUGUUUUCUUCAUGCACAACUCCUUAAAAAUAAAUACUAAAAACAGUGAUCAAGCAAAUUUGGAUUAUUUUUUUUGGGUUUUGAGUGUUGAUAUGGUGGUGGUGAUGAUGAAAGAUUGAGAUUUAAUCCGAUGCAUUAAAGAUGAGAUAUUUUCAUCAAAACUUUAUGAUAUUUAUUGGAGUCAGCAUUUCUUUGCCCUAGUACAUUUCUUAGGCAAAUCAUAUUCUCGACAAGGUCUUUUGAGCUUGUAUCGUAGCCUGGCUAGGGAUUUCAAAGAAAAAGGAUAAGGCUCGAAAAUGUCUUUCCCAAACCCCUUUCUACAUUCUCCUUUCUCCAUUGUCCUAUUUCAACAGUUUUCUUGACAUGACAUUCCAAUACUAAGAUUUUGUUGGAUUUUUGUGAUGUAGUAGGUGAAUGCCUAAUAUUUAGGCGAUAAUCUUCCCGAGAGGUAUUUGAAUUGUUCCUUUUUGUGGUCAUUGAUAGUGCACUUUAUUUUCCGUAACUUUUGCCUGAGAUUUUUAUUGAGGAUUCUCUGCGGGCCUUUUGUAUAUUUUUCCUUUUGUUUUUUUAUGUUAUUUUUCACUUUGACCGAUGAACUUUUUUAUUUGAAUUGCUUAGGAUUUUUAUCCCUCGGGUUAGAUUUGGAAAUAAUAGAGUGUAUUUAUUUCUUAAUAAUUGAAUGCCAAGGAAAACAAUUGAGAUACUACCCUGCCCAAGGUUGUUGAUAUUUUGCGGGUUUUUAGAAAAAUCUCCUUUCAUAAAGCCUAGGGCUCAAAUGGGUGACUAGGGAUAUCUUCAUAGUGUUUGGGAUUUUCAAAGAUGCCUUGUGUCAUCAGAAAGAUUUGCCUUAGAACAUGUACCAUUCUGGAGAAAAAUCUGCCUAAGAAUUUGCACCAUUAUGGGUCUUACAUUUACAUCAUCCUACAUUUCAUUUAAAUUACUGAAUCAAAUAUAUCACAUUAAUGCAUGAAAUUUGGUUUUUGAUUUUUUUUGUUGGAAUGAGAUUUGUGCAAUGAAGUAUGAGAUGGUAAAUUCGCAUGAUCAAUGCAUUAGUAUGUUCUUCUAAAAAAGAUAUGCCGUCGAGAAUCAACUUUCUUCUUGAAAUGGAGACAUGGGAUCUCGUUGUUUGAUGACGCCAAGCCUUGGAGAGAGCAGUAGGGGUUUCAAAAUAUGAUCUGACUCAUGAGUUCCUCGAGGACUGCCAACUCUGACUUGAUUCUCUUGAUUUGAUUAUGCCAUGAGUCUUUAUUGAGGACGAUUGUUAUAAGGGUGCUUAGAAGCAAUGAGGAUGUGACUUGUUUUGGGUUUGUUGAGGAAAAUGUAUUUUGUUUGUGUUAGGACGGUGUUUUGGGAGUUGUGAGGGUGUAUGGUAUUGAAAUGUAUUGUAUGGAUAUGAAUUUUGAUAUGAGUAUGAAGCUUUGGAGUAUGGAUUUGGUGGUGUAUGCAAUUGUGUAUUGAAAUGCAUGGUAUGUUAUUGCAUGAAAAUGCAAUAGUGAAAUGAUUUUUUUUGCUUCAUUUUAUAGUCAAUGAUGAAGGUGCAUGAAUAACUUUAUUUUUUACUUUUUAGAUAAUGUAUGAUGUAUGAAAUGCAAUAUGUGAUAGUGCAUGAAAUGCAAUGUUUGAGUGAUUUUUUAUGAUGAAUCCAUGCAUGAGUAGAGGAUAUAUUUUUUGUAUGAUUAGAUGAGUGAAUGUUUGAUUUCUUGUAUGAGUGUUGGAAUGUUGACUUUUUUUAUGAAUGUUUGAAUUAUGCAUGAUAUAUUUUUUUGUUUUUUGAUGAAUAUUUGAAUAAUGAAAUUUUAUUUUCUGCUUUUUGAUUUUCUGAAUGUAUGUAUGAAUGUGUGAAUGAAUGAUUUACGAAUUUUAAAUUUUAUGAAUUUAUGUAUCAAUAGAUGAACGAAUGACUGAAUGAUAUUUUGGCUUUUAACUCAUUAUAUGAAUGGACGAAUAUUUGAAUGAUAUAACUUUUAGAAUGAUAUAUAUUUUGAUUAAUGUAUGAGUGCAUGACAUGCAUGAACUUGAUAUAGUAGUGUUAAUGCAUUUUGAAUGCCCCUUGGGUAUGAUAGACCUUAUUUAGGGAAAAUAUAACCUUAGUUACAAUAUAAUAAAAUGUCAUGAUGAAUUUCACCCCUAUCAUAUUGUUAAGGCCAAUUCUUGAAUUAACUGAUAAAGUUGUGAGCUUAUUCAGAUGAAAGAGAAUACAUACCUAGGGCGAUGAUUUCAUCGACAAGAAUGAAAAUUGUCCCUACAGCGUUGAGCUCAUGGUAGGGUAUGAAAAUUAUCCCUAAGGCGCUUAGCCCAUGGUAAGGAACAAAAAAAAUUAUCCCUAGGGCGCUUAGCCCAUGGUAGAGAACGAAAGAAUUAUCCCUAGGGCGCUUAGCCCAUGGUAAGGAAUGAAAACAAUAUCUCUAGGGCACUUAGCCCAUGGUAAGGAAAUGAACAAUUAUCCCUAGGGCGCUUAGCCCGUGGUAAGGAAUGAAAGAAUUAUCUUGCCGUCCUUAUAGAAUAAGGACAUGAAAGUGCAAUAAUAUCCUCGUAACACUCUGACACGAGGACUUUUUAGGGACAAAAGUCCCAAUUUAUAAAUGGUGAAGGAUAAAGUUUGGGUUAUGCAUCUUGUGUCCUAAAUAAGGUACACUUAUAAGGUUCCGGAUAGUCUAAAGGUCACAACCCUAUGGGGAUGGUACUAAGUCUUGAUUAAAGUGGAUACGGUAAUAACUUCAGACUUCUAGGUCACCAGAUCGCAUCCAAUCUCGAAGGAAAGGAAACCAAAUAUCGCGGGCUAGAAACGAGAAGGAUCGAGCCCUCCAAGCCGCUAACUCAUGAUACCGGAAACGAUCUGGGUGGUCCAUUCUGCCAAUACCAGAUAUGACUCGAAGUCACUUACCGACAAAGCAGAUGUCCCUUCUAUCUCAAAUCCUAAGCACUAAUACCCGGGUCAAGGCAUAUGUGUGUGUGCAAACUCAAGUGUACAACAUUAGUGUGUGAGGAAGCAUACAAACCUUUUCUUAAAAAUAAAUUACCACCCCCAAAAACUACAAAAUAAUUAAACAGGGAGUUCACAGAUAAUAAAUAAAAUAAAAGUAAAGCAUAUAAUAAUUGUAAAAAAUACGGCAAACAAAAUAUGGGUAAUUAAGUCCAUGAGUUAGCGGUUCUAGGCCUGACCCUCUUAUGGGUGUCCCUAGUGGAGUCGCCAGCUAUCGCGACCCGAUUUUCGGUUGGAAGACCGGCUCUAUGACUUAGGGAGAGGCGAAUUCGGAUUUUACCUCUUCCAAUUGAUUUGGAGUCGCCACUAAGUUUUUUGCGGUUAAAACGUAGAAAACUCUAAUAAGCCCAAUUAGAAUAAAAUGGUCUUUAGACAGAGAUUCUGAGCUCGGGAGUCGAUUGCGGAUCGGGGAAGGUAUUAGCACCCCGUCCGCCCGUAUUAAAACGGUACCCUCGCUAAUAACAUGGACUUUUAUACCCUUAACAAUUAUUUAUUUAUAAUUAUUUAUUUUUAUUAUUGAGCUUGACAAUAUUGACUUUGGUCCUUCGUGCCCCUAUUAAGGAGAUCAAAGCUUACGUAGUUCUAGUUGGAAAAUUGUUUAGCCACUUUGGUUAAUUGUUAAUGUUUUAGAAAAUAUCGAUUAAUUUAUUGAAUUGGUUAAUGUAUAAUUUUUUGAUUUAAUGAGACUAAUAGUUUUAGAGACGGUGUAGGUCGUAGACCUUCUCCUCGUUUUUGGGGGAGUUAGAGACGACUCGAACCAUAACCUUACUAUAAAAAUCCCAAUUUAUUCGGUAGAAUAGUUUUUAAUUAUUCGUGCAUUUAGAAUUUGGAUGAUAAAAUAGUUUAUAUAUAGAAUUAAUAGUAGUAUUUUAGGCCACUCUAGUGCUUUGUGCAGUCUGGUGGUAUCUCUUUUAUGGAAUUGGCAUGGUCCCUAUAGGAUUAUCCUUCUCAUGUCGCGGCUACUUAGUAAUGGAUUUCCUACAAAUUUUCAGCAUUUCAAAAGAGUUGUGGCUCUUUCUGCUGCCCGCCCUUGUGUUUAGAGGCAGAAACUUCAAUCCAUCUAUUUUAGGACUAUCUUUGGUUCAGGGACAUCUAGAUGUCCCUUCUCAAAAUCCCUGAUGGCCACUCCUUUUUUUAGGUGUUUUAAUUGAUUGGUUGGCUUUUAACCUGGACUGCGCGAAGUUUUCAGUUGGGGGAAUUUGAUAAGUGUCAAACAUACCUAAAUUUCAUACACUUUUAUGGCACUUAUCUUAAGCAUAAUUGAGAAAAACCAACUUAAAACAAUACUUUUUGUAUAAAAUAUCACAAUCUUGUAUAUUUUUGUUUGUAUUUCUUUUUAUGUAUUUUUUAGGAUUUAGAAAGAAGAAAAGAAGAGAAACAAAAGACUCAUGGUCAAAAAGAAAAAGAAGUCAAAAUCAAGGUGCUCAAACAGGCAGCUGAUUGUGGAUCAAGCCACGCUAAGCUGACAUGGACACCAGUCUGACCUGGACACCAGCCUGACCUAGACCAAGCUGCCCAAGCAAGCAGUUGAUCAGACCUGCUUGGCCGCUCAACCUAGCACCAGACUAGUCCUAGCAUGAUCAGACCUCAAGCUUGACACGGUCAGACACGAGCUUGGCACAUGCCCGAGCUGCUGAACAAGCAGCUUAGCAGUCCAACAAGCAGCUUAGCGGAGAACCAGACUCCGGCCCCGAUAG
rnacentral:lncRNA from 1 species